rnacentral:rRNA from 1 species
UACGUAGGGUGCAAGCGUUAAUCGGAAUUACUGGGCGUAAAGCGUGCGCAGGCGGCUUUGUAAGUUUGUCGUGAAAUCCCCGGGCUCAACCUGGGAAUUGCGAUGAAGACUGCAAGGCUAGAAUCUGGCAGAGGGGGGUAGAAUUCCACGUGUGAGCAGUGAAAUGCGUAGAGAUGUGGAGGAACACCGAUGGCGAAGGCAGCCCCCUGGGUCAAGAUUGACGCUCAUGCACGAAAGCGUGGGGAGCAAACAGG